GUGCAAGCUGAUUGGUGGAUUUUGAGGGCUGGGCGGAAACGGAAAAGACUAAGGGCCAAUGGGCAGAAAGCGCCGGCGGCGAACCCGGUUGUUUGGGAAGGCGAGCAGCUGGAGGAGGCGGAGCUUGCGGGGGUAGGGAGGCUGAGGCAGUGGGAGCGCUAGGCCUGGGUGCUCAUCUCUCCCCCCACCCUCCCCGGAUUCUGUGCGCAGGCGCUGUGGCCCGGCCUCGGGAGAGGAGCUGUGAGCAACGCGCGUGCGCGUCUCAGUUUUCUUAGUUUGGGCUUUUUUACAGCCCGGCUUUCUGAUGUCUUCCAUUAUUUUCACCCCCUACGCUUUAUAAUCUGUUGCGAUGCGGCCGAGGUACUCUGCUUGAACCUCCGCUGCACCUUGUCACAUAUAGGUUCCCUUUAGUUACGUGAGCUUUGAGAUGACGUUACACUUCAGGGAACUCAAGCACACAAGCUUUCUAAGGCUCAAGGAGAGAGGUCUGGCUACCAAAUGCUAAUUUAAUUCUCAGGUCGACAAUGGUUAAUGCCUGCAGUACUGCUGCUAGGCAAAGGACAUAGAAAAUGCGAAAUGGAGAGGGCCAAGAAAAGCAACAGGAGAUGCAGGAGGACAACAAGUAACGAUGGAAAACUCACAGCAGAUGCCCUCAAGAACUUUUGUAGUGACCACGGUGUUAAUAAGCAGCCUGCCCUGACCUUAUUCGCCUCAGCACUCUGAGCUUUUAUGGUCGGCUCAGGUGGAACACUGCUCUCCGGAGAGAGGUAGACUGCAUUGGCUCCUGAAGUGGCACCGAGACUGCUGGAGUGUCAGAGAUUCAAUAGACUGAGAGCCCCUAAUGAAUUGUGUAGGAUUGUGGACCACUUCCCCAUUGCAGGUGUUGGUUACGUGACAGUCUACGGAAAUGAUUGCAAUGGGAACAUUUUGAUGAUUUUCUAACGAAUAAAGCUUGCGUUAUGUAACUUUUA